GGGAUAAAAAUCCCUAAUAUUAACAAAGAAACUAACUUGUAUUCGCUCUAGGAAUUUUUUAUCUCGUGUAGUAGUAGUUAAGGUAAACUUGAACUAGCUUUAUUGUAUACACGUAGUCGAAACUGAAAGGUUGAUCGAUCACAAUGUGGCCUGAACAAAGCCCAUGACAAAAGUAGCAGCAGUGAGGAAUCUUGGUCAAUAGCCUAACGGCUGAACCAGCAACUUGGAGGAAUGAAAAAGCAAUAGCAGAUUGCAUUUAAUUUAAUGUAGUUACUACUUGGUAGUUUAAAUUUCUAGGUAGAAUUAUGAUGAUGACAUUAUCUAUCUAUUAGUCUUGACCAAAUUACGUGCCAGCAGUCGCGGUAAUACGUAGAAGACAAGUGUUAUUCAUCUUUAUUAGGUUUAAAGAGUCCAAGACGGGUAAUAAAGCCCAAAAUAAAUGAAUACGGGGGACACAUUAACUAGAGUUAUAUGAAAGGAAGCUCUAAGGUACUGUUGAGUGUAGAGAUGAAAUUUUAUGAUACCAGAUGAUUGGCACAGAUUUAUGCGAAGGCAUCUUCUUAUGUAAUAACUGACGUUGUAGGACGAAGGCUUAGAAAGUGAACAGGAUUAGGUACCCCAGUAACCUUGGCAGAAAAUGAUGAAUGUCAUAGGCUGAUUAAAAAUUGGAGGUGAGCUAAGAAAUGAAAGUGUAAGCAUUCCACCUCAAGAGUAAUUUGGCAACAUUGGAACUGAAAUCAUUAGACCGUUUCUGAAACCAGUAGUGAAGUAUGUUGUUUAAUUAGAUGAUACACAAAAACCUUACCACAACUUGAAUAUAUAUAAAAUAUAUUUACAAGCGCUGCACGGCUGUCUACAGUUAAUGUCGUGAGACUAUGGUUAACUCCUUUAAAUUGACGAAAACCCUAAUUUUAUUUAUAAAUAUAAUUAACAU
rnacentral:rRNA from 1 species